UUUACAGAUCUUAACAUUGAUGACAGCUUUGACAUAAAAUCAUUCUCUAUUCCACUCUUGCCUGGAAGUUCGCUGGUGAUUGAAAGACAACAAAAUAGAGCAGCUAAAGACAGGGAUUAUGUGAAUGAAUUUCAAGAAGAACUGUAUGUUAAUACCAGAAAACGCAACCAGCCAAGAAAACUGUUACAACCACUACAAUCCAGGCAAUUUG